rnacentral:tRNA from 1 species
GGGGCUGGGGCUCAGCGGUAGAGCACUCACCUGGCAUGUGUAAGGCCCUGGGUUUGAUCCUCAGCACCCCA